UAUGGCUCGGUGGGCGGGCUUUGGGCUUCUAGUGGUCCUCAGAGGCGUUAACUUUUGCUGUAAUAUUUACUGCAUUUGUGGAGUAGUACUAAAUUUGCUCGAAAAUUACAGAUGUAUACAUAUAAAGAUGUAUAAGUUUUGACUUGCCGGACUGAAUUGGGUUUUUUGCUUCCCCAGAAAAGGGAAACUCAGUGUUUUUGGUUCCAAUAAAAGACAAAACUAAACCUUUCGGUAAGUUACCUGGUCGGGAGCAGGAUUUCUUCGGUAAACCCAGAAUUUACUUCCGUCUCCUCACCCUUUUUUAAAGCCCUCUCCGCAGUAACUGAGACAGACCAUGGCAGCUUUACUCAUGUAGGAUGAUCUGAUCGGUGUGAAUUAGACAUUGUGUGAUGAUCAAGAGGAAAACCUACACUUCACAGCAUCUCAGAACCCUUAUGGAUAAAACAAAGCCUCAUUCUUAAGUCUUUGUUGUCUGAAGGGAUGACCUCUCUUCUCCCUGCUGGGCUUGGCACUGCUGGGUCUGACACCAGCCCAGCAGCCGUCUCUCCCUCCAUAAUUUAUUGUCUUUUCUCUCUGGAAGGCCACCAGCAGGAUAUCUGACUGAUACGCAGAGUGUUUAAAUGAUUGUGUCAAGGCAACUAGAGAAAGAUGGAACAUGUAAGUAUAGCUGGCUUUAAAUCUUUUUAAUUUUCUCUAGAACAAAUGCUGAUAUUCGUUUGUCUUAAAUGCGAAAGUGUGAGAUUUGUGGUGUUUAAAUGUUUUAUUGUCACGGUUUUAAAAACCGGAAAGGAUCGUUUUUAUGACUCUUUUUUUAUGCAAGCUUGAGAUUGUUCUGAAUAUAUGGAGCUUCAGUUUUCUCUGACAACCAGUUUUAGAAACACAACCAUAUCUCCCUCGGGACACAGACGAGACAAGUGUGAGGCACCAAGCAGUGCUGCCUUUUUAUUGGUUGUUUAAAUGUUUGUCUAAACAGUAAGAAUUGAAUCUGGGCUGCUUGCAUAAGACACUGGGACAAGUGAUUAGGAUGCUUAGGAAGUAUCUUAAGGUAGACUGAAUCAUCGAUGUGGAAGAGAAUGUACUGUAAAGGAUUCAUGAAUGUCAGUCUUGGAGUUUCUGUUAUUUGACUGUUUUGGAGAACAUUAUGAAUGAAUCUCAUAAAAACAUUUUCAUUUUGAUUUUCAUAACAAAUAAGCACAUUCACCCACAAACUGAUUUAUAUUCUAUAUUAUUUGUUGUAAGCUUAUAUUAAAUUAAUAUUAUCAAAAAUGUGUAAAUUCUAGAAGUUAGCAUAUUAUAAUUUGUUACAGUAUCUCACAGAAGUGAGUACACCCCUCACAUUUUUGUAAAUAUUUUAUUAU